AUGGCGGGCCCAGCGGCGUCGUUGAGGUUCACGGUGAGGAGGAAGGCGGCCGAGCUGGUGACGCCGGCGGGGCCGACGCCCCGGGAGCUGAAGCGGCUCUCGGACAUCGAUGACCAGGACGGUCUGCGGUUCCACAUCCCCGUCAUCCAGUUCUACCGGCGCGACGCGUCCAUGGGCGGCAGGGACCCAGCGGCAGUGGUCCGGGACGCCGUGGCCAGGGCGCUCGUGCACUACUACCCGUUCGCCGGCCGGCUGAGGGAGCUCGAAGGGCGCAAGCUCGCCGUCGACUGCACCGGCGAGGGCGUGCUGUUCAUCGAGGCCGACGCCGACGUGCGUCUGGAGCACUUCGGCGACGCCCUGCAGCCGCCCUUCCCGGGACUCGAGGAGCUCAUCUUCGACGUCCCCGGGUCGUCCGAAGUCCUCGGCACUCCACUCCUCCUCUUCCAGGUGACACGCCUGGCGUGUGGAGGCUUCAUCCUGGCGGUGCGGCUGAUGCACACGAUGGCGGACGCGCAGGGGCUGGUGCAGUUCCUGGCCGCCGUGGCGGAACUGGCGCGAGGCGCGGCGGCGCCGUCGGUGCGGCCGGUGUGGGAGCGGGAGCUGCUGGAGGCGCGGAACCCGCCGCGCCCUGGCUUCGCGCACCGGGAGUACGACGAGGUGCCGGACACCAAGGGCACCAUCGUGCCGCUCGACGACAUGGCGCACCGCUCCUUCUUCUUUGGGGCCCGGGAGGUCGCCGCCAUCCGGUCCCACCUGGCGCCGGGCCUCAGGAAGCGCGCCACCACGUUCGAGGUCCUCACGGGAAGCCUGUGGAAGUGCCGUACCGUGGCGCUGGCCCCCGACGCUGACGAGGUGAUGCGGAUGAUCUGCAUCGUCAACGCCCGCGGCGGCAAGCAGGGCGGUGCGAGCGCUAUCCCGGCCGGCUACUACGGGAACGCGUUCGCCUUCCCGGUGGCCGUGUCGGCCUCCGGCGACCUGUGCGCGAACCCCCUGAGCUACGCCGUGAAGCUGGUGAAGGAGGCCAAGUCGGAGGUGGACGUGGAGUACAUGCGGUCGGUGGCGGACCUGAUGGUGCAGCGCGGGCGGCCGCACUUCACGGUGGUGCGCGCGUACCUGGCGUCGGACGUGACCAAGGCCGGGUUCGGCGACCUGGACUUCGGGUGGGGCAGGCCGGUGUACGGCGGGCCGGCAAAGGGCGGCGUGGGCGCCAUCCCCGGGGUGGCCAGCUUCCUGAUCCCGUUCAAGAACGGCAAGGGCGAGGACGGCAUCGUGAUCCCCAUGUGCCUGCCUGGGCCCGCCAUGGACAAGUUCGUGGAGGAGAUGGGCAAGCUGCUGCGCCCGGCCGUCGACGUCCCCGACAUGUUCCCCGCCAUGAUCAAAUCUGCGCUCUGA
rnacentral:rRNA from 1 species